CAAGGACAUACACACACAUGGAAAAGGCCGUGUGAGAACACAGCAAGAAGGUGGCUACCGGCAAGCCCAGGAAAGAGUUCUCACCGGAAACCAAUCUUACAGGCACCUGAUCUUGGACUUCUGACCUCCAGAACUAUGAUUUGAGAAGCACAGGUAUAGAGAACUUCCAAGGGCCGUCUCUCGGAAAUUGACCCCUGUGUGGAGGAAAUAUAAAGGUUUUUUGUCCUGCCUGGAUUUGGCUUCUGAAACUGCUCUGUCAUCGUGCUACAAUCCAAAGCUCAGAGGAGGACACGGCUGAGAGUUACUGCAGGGAAGCAAAGCUGCAGCCCUGGCACCAGGGAGCCAUGAGCCAGCUCUUCCGACACAUCCUCAGUAUAUAGGAUAAUUGCUUUGCUGUCAAAGCCAGUGUGAGUCAGGAUUUUCUGCUCCAGAUAACCCAGGCUUCAGGGCAAGGGCACAGCCCAGCUCCUCCAAGACGCCUUCGUUGAUGUGCCCACCCUUCAAGGCUCUUCUCACCUUAGACUUCUGGUGCCACUGCCUGGGCUGGCAGCUGCACUGGUCGUCACUGAACUCGUACAGCUUUGUGCCAUCAUUCAACUUUUAGUGCGUUAGAUCUCCAUCCACCACCGCCAUCCACCACACUGAGAGCCUUAAGGAGAGUGUGCGGGUUAUUAAUGUCUGUAUUCCCCAUACCAGCACCCAUCCUGCAAGUGAAUAAGCCCGAUUAAGCCCAAAAGUUUUGGUUGCACCUUCUCCUCAGCCAGUGGGCACCUACUGGUGUUACAGUUCUGAGACUUAGAAGGGCACAUCAGUGAUUCCUCAUGUAAUAAAGAAUAUUUGUUCUAAAAUAUUGCCCUCUCUUCCUUUUUAGAAAAGCAGCUAGCAUUUUUUAAACUUCUGCCACAUAUCAGUCACCUCAUUAUAAAUGGGUGAAUCUAGUAAUCAAAGCCACUAUUGCUUAUUUUUUCUUAAAUAUGUGAAUUGGAAAGAAUGAGACCUACCUCAAUGUGGUGAAAAGUGAGCGAGAUAAUGCAAGCAAAACCCUAUCAUAGCUCAUGGCAUAAGUCAGAGAUCAACUAAUAGCAGAGGUUCUAUGGAGCAGAUGAUGCCUGGAUAGUACAUGCGAGGCCAAAUCUAGUCAAAUCAGCUGGAAGGGAGAAUCCACUCAAAGGGAUUGCUGCAGGCAAUGAACUAUUCAGGUCUUUGCUAGGUAAGAAGAGAGAUUAAUUGUGGAUAGUGACUGAGGCUUUAAAAGAAGACAUGAAAGGCUGACAUGUAUCAUUGUCCUGAUUCUUUAUAGCUCCAAGUAGAGGUUUUAUCCUGUGAUGAUCAGGUAUAACAAUAAAACUCCUGUAACCUGGAAAUCUAAUUUUCUCUUCUAUUUGGGCCAGAAUGGAAAUAUGUCGCUGUUUUCCCAUGGUUGAGUGCUGCCUAUGCUCUUCAUUCUCCCAAAUAAAAAUUUCCCUGAGCAAGAGAAGUUGAGAGAAUGGCCUUAGACGGAUGAAACUCGUCACUAAUAACCAUAAGUGGUGCACUCUCUCCCAAUCUUUAAAAUUGCAAGAAAGAGUUCAAUGAGUUUGAGUCUCUAGUGCGAAAUUCAAAACUUAGACAAUUUGCAAAUAUUUUUUUUUGUUACGUGAUAAUUCCGAUCAACCACCAUGGCUCAAAACAAGACUCUUAUGACAGUCUUUCGGAAAACCAUAGUGUUAAAUCCAGCCUCAUUUGUUCCAUACACCACUCCUGCUGCAUGAGGUUGUAACGAUGCUUUUAUUGUGUGCUGCCAUCUGCUUCAAGACUGUAUCUCCUUUCCAUUCAAAUGUUAGUUGAGUCUCACACCAG
rnacentral:lncRNA from 1 species